rnacentral:rRNA from 1 species
GCCAGCCGCCGCGGUAAUACCGGCGGCUCGAGUGGUGGCCACUUUAUUGGGCUUAAAGCGUUCGUAGCUGGGUUAUUAAGUCCCUUGGGAAAUCCGACAGCUUAACUGUCGGGCGUCUAAGAGAUACUGGUAAUCUUGGAACCGGGAGAGGUGAGGGGUACUUCGGGGGUAGGAGUGAAAUCCUGUAAUCCUCGAGGGACCACCUGUGGCGAAGGCGCCUCACCAGAACGGCUUCGACAGUGAGGGACGAAAGCUGGGGGAGCAAACCGGAUUAGAUACCCGGGUAGUCCCAGCCGUAAACGAUGUGCGUUAGGUGUAUCGGUGACCACGAGUCACCGAGGUGCCGAAGGGAAACCGUGAAACGUACCGCCUGGGAAGUACGGUCGCAAGGCUGAAACUUAAAGGAAUUGGCGGGGGAGCACCACAACAGGUGGAGCCUGCGGUUUUAAAUUGGACUCAACGCCGGAAAUCUCACCGGAUAAGACAGCAGAAUGAUUGCCGGGCUGAAGACUCUGCAUGACUAGCUGAGUAGAGGUGCAUGG